AGAAGCUCCCAAUAGACUUGGGCCAAACAAUAUCACUGGACAGAGAGAGGUUGAUUGAUUCAAUCGGGAAGUAGCAGUAGCGGUGGAAGGGGCAUGCAGAGGAGAGGUCAAGAUGGAGAGAAAGAAAGCGAUAUUUUUCAUCUCAGUGCUUCUUCUGGAGGCAAAUUCCUGUGCUUGCCUCCUCCACCCCUGCUGCUACCACUCCCCCAUCACCGCGAAGGCACGAAAGCGAAGUUGUCUGCUUUCCUACUCUCUUCAAGAAGGCCUCAAUCUGCCAUACCCUGGUAUUACAUUUGAUCUACUGCACUGGAUUAUAAGCAACCUACACAAAUGGAUGAUAAGAAGGGUCUCGCUAUCGUGUUCUUUUAUAUUAUUAUAUAAAAAGAAGAAGAGAUAUCUUGCCCGCCCAAUAUGAGGGGGAAAGCUAGCUCGGCCCUAGCAAAUGCUUCUUCCUUGAUUCGUCUAGCAUAGUUGGCGGGCAUAAAGUGUUUGGUGAAAUCUUUCUUAGAAAGGAACAUGGGAGAUUUACUUGGUGCUUCAUACGGGUACCAUUUGGAUGAUAUACAAAAAAAGUGCCGUGAUUCGAGAAAUUAUCAGAAGGCAGAAGGUUCCGUUGGAGGGCAAUAUGGUGCUGAUCCCCAAAUUACUACAAAGUCGAGGCUCAACAAAUCUGGAAAGCUUGCAGUAUUUUUACAGCAUGAGCUGAAGCCUAAGUCAAUUCUAACCAUCUCUGCUAAGGUUGACAUCAAGGUCUUGGACAGGACUUCCAAGUUUGGUUUGGUACUUGCUCUCAAGCCAUGAUCUGUCUGUAGGCAGUGUGUGAAAUUUGAAUUUUUCGAUUGGAUCCAGAAGUUACGGGCGGUAGAAGUUAUACCACAGAUAUUCUUUUGUUGAAAUUUUGAAUCACCGGGAAUGAUUUGGUUGAUGCCGAUACAUAUUAAGGCUAUUUAGUAUUUUUCUUUUAUUCUUGGAUGUAAUUUAACUUGUGGUAGAUUUGUAAUGUCAUUUUUCUGUUGAGGUAUUGCUGUCAUUAGAUUGUGAAAAAUUAUCACAAUAGUUUCUAUUUUGCAGAAUUUAUAUUUGAGAAUGAUAUGGUUUUAACUGCA